GCCUUCUCAGGUGCUCCUGGUCGCUCUGGCAAAGUACACGGCUGUGUGCAGUUGUAUGCAGGAAGGACCAGCACUCUUCCAUGAAGCAAUAUAGCCAGCUGCAGAUACUUAUCCAAGCUGCAAACACAAACCUAGACAGGAAUCAGCUUUUGAUUUAAAUAGCCCUAAAUUAAUUUGAAUCACUGUAAGAUUACACACACCUGUGCCCAUGGAUGCCUUCUUUUUGUGUUCUGGCCCUGGAACUUUUGAAGAGAUUUCUCAAUGACUCAGUGCAGCAGCAGCUCUAGAGGAGGUAAGGGUGACUGCAUGUGAAACCGUCUGGGAUACCACCAAGUGAGAAGGAACUUGGGACCCACUUCCAAGCUGGAAGAAAAAUGCAAAGAAAAGCAGAAGGCUAUCUUUAGCAUGCCAAGUACA